UACGGAGGAUGCAAGCGUUAUCCGGAAUGAUUGGGCGUAAAGCGUCCGCAGGUGGCAGUUCAAGUCUGCUGUCAAAGACCGGGGCUUAACUUCGGAAAGGCAGUGGAAACUGAACAGCUAGAGUAUGGUAGGGGCAGAGGGAAUUCCUGGUGUAGCGGUGAAAUGCGCAGAUAUCAGGAGGAACACCGGUGGCGAAGGCGGAUCUCUGGGCCUUACCUGACGCUGAGGCGCGAAAGCUAGGGGAGCAAACAGG
rnacentral:rRNA from 1 species